rnacentral:rRNA from 1 species
GACGAACGCUGGCGGCGUGCCUAAUACAUGCAAGUCGAGCGGACUGAUUAAGAGCUUGCUCUUAUGACGUUAGCGGCGGACGGGUGAGUAACACGUGGGCAACCUGCCCUGUAGAUCGGGAUAACACCGAGAAAUCGGUGCUAAUACCGGGUAAUAUCUGAGAUCACAUGAUCUUAGGUUAAAAGAUGGCUCCGGCUAUCACUACGGGAUGGGCCCGCGGCGCAUUAGCUAGUUGGUAAGGUAAUGGCUUACCAAGGCGACGAUGCGUAGCCGACCUGAGAGGGUGAUCGGCCACACUGGGACUGAGACACGGCCCAGACUCCUACGGGAGGCAGCAGUAGGGAAUCUUCCGCAAUGGACGAAAGUCUGACGGAGCAACGCCGCGUGAGUGAUGAAGGGUUUCGGCCCGUAAAGCUCUGUUGUUAGGGAAGAAACAGUACCGAACGAACUAGGUCGGUACCUUGACGGUACCUAACCAGAAAGCCACGGCUAACUACGUG